rnacentral:rRNA from 1 species
UACGUAGGUGGCGAGCGUUGUUCGGAUUCAUUGGGCGUAAAGGGUGCGUAGGUGGCGUCGUAAGUCGGGUGUGAAAUCUCGGGGCUUAACUCCGAAACUGCAUUCGAUACUGCGGUGCUUGAGGACUGGAGAGGAGACUGGAAUUUACGGUGUAGCAGUGAAAUGCGUAGAGAUCGUAAGGAAGACCAGUGGCGAAGGCGGGUCUCUGGACAGUUCCUGACACUGAGACACGAAGGCCAGGGGAGCAAACGGG